rnacentral:tRNA from 1 species
GCAGGGGUGGCUGAGCAUGGUCAAAGGCGCCGGGCUUAAGAUCCGGUCCGCAACGCGGUUCGUGGGUUCAAAUCCCAGUCCCUGCACCA